AGCAAUCGACCGGGGGCCUUCAUCCUCCCCAUCUUAGGCGACUUCGACCGCCAUCGCGUUUCGGUCAAAUUCGGCCAAGCCGAAGCCACCUAGCCCCACUCGAGCCGCCCCUCGACUCCCCUCGACCCCGCAAAGGUUUCUCCCCUCGAAUCCUAGCCCGGGAGCUUUCGUAGAGAGAGACCCCAGACACCUAGAAACCAUAGUCCGUUGGUAGCCUUGCCGCCGGCCGAUCCCUCCACCUCCCCACACCUGGCUACCACCGGGAGGACCAGCAGCUGGCCGGGGAACCCAUUCCCGCCCUCAGACGGACCCUAGGAGCCUCCGUCCGCUGACGAGAACCGUCGGAGCCCUGCCUCCGCUCGGCCACAAGAAAGAGGCAUGUGCGACUGGUCAAACCUAACAAGUGGGCCCGAUGGACCCAUUGUCAGUGACCCCAUGGUUCCGCCGAAGCGCUUAAGUGGAAGUGUAAAGCCCCGGGGUAUGUUUUCUCUGUUAGGGAAUAGGGAUUUGAAGACAGGGUAAAAACUUUCCGAAAGUUUUGUUGUGCACCUCACCUACCUACACACUCAAGGCAAGCAUUCUGAAUUUGGGUAUAAUAUUGUUGUAUGUGAUUUGCUUCAUGAAGAAAACAUUAUUGUUAUGUUGAAUAAGUUUGAUGGUAUUUCAUGUGGUGGUAUAACCAUGCACAUGGGUACAUGGCGAGAAAAUAUACCUGUUACGUAUGUGAUGCUUGUGAGAGUAGCCACUCCCUUCUGCCACACAUGCCUUCCGGAUGGGAUCCGAGAAGAGUAGGUGUCUUGGAAAGACACGACCUUGGGGACUGACAUCUCAUGGGAGGAGGAUGGUCGGCGAGGCAUGUUGGGGUAUGAGAGGUGGUGAUUCUGUCCAGAAUCGUGAAAUAAUUCUGUUGUGCUAAUCAUUGCAUGGAACAAUAUAAACCUCCUUAGUCCAUCGUAGAUCGAGUCUUGGUCCAGCAACCUCCCUUACUUUUUUCGUACUACCGCUUGUCCGUGUCGAAAGCAGGGUACGGUUGAGUAAGUUGUCAACCCCUUUCUUGGCACACACCGUACAGGAGAGGCCAUAGUGAAAGAUACCAGUGGCCCCUCGUAGACAUGUCACUUGGUCUAGGGACAUGCGUGUUUCGGUCUGAGAUCAAAGGGGUUAGCUCCCCCGUGUGCGCGCGACCCCAGGCAUCAGGAAGUAGGAACUCGUGUGUAAAGGUUAGGUGUGUUUUCAACUCAAAGACCGUAAUCGGAAUUAGUCAACAUCUCUGGUUGACUAGAGAAAUCCGUUACUCGUGGGUAAAGAGUACACCCUCUGCAGAGUUUUACACCUAUUCGGAAGGCCUUGUCCGUGGUUAAGGGAUACAGUUUGCGAUAGGUCAAGUGUCGGUAUGAGUAUCGGUCUUCGGAGGAUGUUAACAAAAUCGUGAGACUAAUCAUGAAAUAUGGUGGAUGAUCAUAGCUAUUAUUUUACUAUGGACUAACCUUUAUGAUUAUGAAUGUUGAUUAUCCCUAGGACGGUUCUACCUCCUAGAUAUUCAUUGUUGUUAUUUCAUAUGAGUCAUGUAUGUGGUAUCGCCCAGAUGCCCAACUGUGGCAUGAUUAUUACUAUUUCAUAUAAGCCCAUUAUGUGGUAUCGCUCAAACGCCCGACUGUGGCAUGCUUAAUAUUAUUUCAUAUAAGCCCUUUAUGUGGUGUCGCUCAGACACCCGACUGUGGCAUGUUUGUUAUUACUUCACAUAAACCCUUUAAGUGAUGUCACUCAGACGCCCGACUAUGGCAUGUUUGUUAUUAUUUAUUAUAAGCCAUUUAUGUGGUGUCGCUAAGACGCCCGACUGAGGCAUAUCACGUAUCUUUUCUGUUAACUUUCUUCUCAUUGAAUGCUUAUUGAACUCUUAGUAUGGUUAAUUUACAUGAUCACUAGUGCUUGAGAGUUUGAAUUAUGAUUGAAGUAAUAUCGUUGAAUUAUUGCAAGUGCAUAUUAACCACGUGCUAUUUUAUGCAUGCUUUCAUGAUGUUUGUGAGUACAUUCAAAGUACUCAAUGGCUUGUCCCUGGCUAUUGUCUUGCCUGAUUGCGUGCUUGGAGAGGAGGAUCCCGAUGAUAGCCCCGGAACCUAGGCACCGAAGACAGUAGCCGCGUGAGAUAGGAAUUGUCCAAGGUGAGCUAUUCCUGUGGGAAAUGGAGUCCCAUAGACGCUAGAAAUCCCCGAACCGCUUUCGCCAUCAACCAGUAGAAACCUUUUCUAUGUACUCCAUAGGCCAUCUUGGUCUUGUACCUCAUAUUUGUAUUUUCUUUACUUGGAUAUUUGUAUCAUGGAUUUAUGUACCAGCUAACCGUAUUCCUGGGGUUUGUA